GCCACACUGGCGGAGAGUGGUAAGGCGAAUACAUAAGCGACCGGCUAAACAUCUCCGAACCACCCCACAAGACCCGAGCCCAGACUGCACUCGACACUCAGCGGUUACCAGACCCGCAGCAGCACAGCACUCCGGGUGCAUACCGGAGGAGGGCAUUCUACCGAACACCGCAUCUGCACGGACAACCAUCCACACGGACCGAGUACACGGAUGAGCCCCAGCCAAACGACGCCUCACCUGAUCAUGCUUUACCCGACCAAAGAAAGGUACCUGACACAGACCAGCAAGAGGGAUACAGGGGACACCAG